CCAAUAGGAACUCUGGGAACUUGAGCGGCUGGCCUGUCAGAGACAGCCUUAAAGUCCCGCCUAUCUACUACCGGAAGCCAAUAGAAACGAGAAUUUCCUUGCUGCCCAACCAAUCGCAAGGCCGAUUGCUGAAAAGUGCUCUGGACGUAAAGCAGGAGGAUCGUACAGGUUCCAGGUUAAGCAGGUCCGCUUGAGCUCUGGUUGAGGAACUUCUGUUGGUGUUUGGGCCACAGGAAUCUGCAACCAUGGAUGACUCACAUAUGCUUCAAGACCUGCUUUAGACUUGGGUUUUCCUGGGAACCUUGCAGCUACACUAAAGUUGAAUGAAUUGUUUAAGAGACCUAUGGCUGUCAUCUUCUGUUUCGUAGGUAGAUUUAGAAUUCUGAGGCGCAGUCUUGAAGGCCCAAGCCUGUUAUCCCGGCUACUCGGGAAGUGGAAGCAAGAAAUUUGCAGAUUCAAGGCCUGCCUGGGCUACAAGGUGAGUCAGGCCAGCCAGCCUCAACAAAUUAGUAAGAAGGUGCUACAAGAUAAAAGAAGUGGAAGAGUCUGGGGCUGUAUCUCAGUGGUAGGUGCUGCCUGGCAUGCUCAGCAGACUGGGUUCAAUUUUGAAUGCUCACACUUCCCACCUCUGCUUUCAGCACAACUCAGAUAUGGUAAGCUGUAUGGCAUGUGGCAGUGCAUGACUAGAUGAGCAAGGUUCCUGAGGCUACAGGUGACCGUUGCCUCCUCGAGAAUUUAGAACAGUAUCUUUCAAAUGUUGCUGUGCUUUAGAGUCACCUGGAAGACUUGUUAAUGUAGAACAGGGCCACAUUCUCAAAGUAUAUAACUAUAUAUCUUAGGCUUGCCCCAAGAAUUUGAAUUUAUAUUUCAAAAGGUUGCCACUUUAUGCCAUUUCUACUUUUUGGAAAUACAGUUGGAUAAUUUUUAGUUUGAUAUGUUAGUAUAGGUAAAACGGCCCUCUAAAGAUCUCCAUCUACUAGUCCCUGAACGGGUUAACACUUUAUUGUACAUGCUAAAAGGAGUUUGAAGAUAGGAUUAAAAUAAGAACGUUAGUCAUCAUAGAUUACUAUGUGAUAAAUAUAGCUAUAAGGGUCUUUGUGAGUUAGAGAUUGGGAAGGAGACCAUAUAGUGAUGGAGAAAUGCAGGGCUUUGAGAGGGAAGGAAAGGGACCCAGAAGCAAAUUUUGCUUGUGGCUUUAGAAGCUAGCAAAGGCCAAGACAAGGAUUUUUACCUAAAGUGUCUAGAUGGGAUAUUGCACCUUGCUAACACCUUGGUUUUAACCAGUGAGAUUUGUAGCAGAGUUCUUGCUGUGAGUUUAUAUAUUUGUGCUGUUUUAUGCUGCUAGAUUUAUGGUAAUUUGUUAGAGCAGUCAUAAACUAUAACACGCCUGUAACUAACUCUUAGCUUACUGGUUAGCUUUACAUCAGGAAUUCUUGAUGUCAACUCAUGACUUGAUUGAGAAAACAAACACAUGUGUGCCAAUAGCUACUUCACUUUUCUAUAGGAUUGAAAAGCUAUCGAUAAUAUGAGUUGCUUUUCUAUACUUACACAGUCUAAGACCCAGAUCAGGGAAUGGUGUCAUCCACAAUGGGCAUCCACUAAGAAGUUGAAUCUUCUUAGUAAACUUAUAUAAUGGUUCCUGUUUAUUUUUAUUUUUAAGGCAGAGUCUCACUGUUUAGCACAACCUGGCCUUGAACUCAAGAUCAUCCUGCCUCGUUUCAUAAAUGUUGGGAUUGUGAGAAUGUUUCACAGCAUGCUUAAAAUCUUUAAUUCAACUAAAUUUAAAAUUAUAAUAACCUAAUUAUGAAAGUGGGCAAAUGGCUUAAGUGGACAUUUUUUUGGAAAUAGACAAAUGGCCAAUGUGCAUAGGAAAGUACUUAUUAACUAAAACUAUUUACUAACUAAACAAAAAUCAAUGUCACAAUGAAGCUAUCACAUCAUGUAUUUAGUAGGUGGCAAUAAUAAAAUGGAUAUUAUUAAGUGCUGGUAAAUAUGU
rnacentral:lncRNA from 1 species